AUCUACCAAACUCCGAAUACCAAUGCGAUAGACCUGGGAGAUAGACGGCGAGUGACAAUAUCCGUCGUCAAAAGGAGAAAAAUCCUGAUCACCAGCUAAGGUCCCUAAUCUCUGCUCAGUUCGAAAGGAAGUCAGGUUGCAAUGACACCCGGGAUGUUGGCUUAGAAGCAGCCAUCAUUUAAAGAGUGCGUAACAGCUCACCGGACGAGGAACCUGGCGCCGAUAAUGAUCGGGAAUAAGCAGAGAGCCGAAGCUGUGGGCGCGCAAGCGCGGUAGGAGAGCGUUGCUGGGGCGGUGAAGCCGUGCGGAAACGCCAGGUGGAGCGCCAGCAAGUGAAUAUGCGGGCUUGAGUAACGAUUAACCAGGUGAGAAUCCUGGUCGCCGAAUACCCAAGGUUUCCUGGGGAAGGUAAAUCCGCCCAGGGUUAGCCGGGACCUAAGGCAAGGCCGAAAGGCGUAGUCGAUGGACAUGGGGUACAACAUUCCCCAGCACACGUGG
rnacentral:rRNA from 1 species